rnacentral:rRNA from 1 species
AUUGAACGCUGGCGGCAGGCCUGACACAUGCAAGUCGAGCGGAUGAAGGGAGCUUGCUCCUGGAUUCAGCGGCGGACGGGUGAGUAAUGCCUAGGAAUCUGCCUGGUAGUGGGGGAUAACGUCCGGAAACGGGCGCUAAUACCGCAUACGUCCUGAGGGAGAAAGUGGGGGAUCUUCGGGCCUCACGCUAUCAGAUGAGCCUAGGUCGGAUUAGCUAGUUGGUGGGGUAAAGGCCUACCAAGGCGACGAUCCGUAACUGGUCUGAGAGGAUGAUCAGUCACACUGGAACUGAGACACGGUCCAGACUCCUACGGGAGGCAGCAGUGGGGAAUAUUGGACAAUGGGCGAAAGCCUGAUCCAGCCAUGCCGCGUGUGUGAAGAAGGUCUUCGGAUUGUAAAGCACUUUAAGUUGGGAGGAAGGGCAGUAAGUUAAUACCUUGCUGUUUUGACGUUACCAACAGAAUAAGCACCGGCUAACUUCGUG